rnacentral:lncRNA from 1 species
GCUUGCUGAAUGAAAUGGGAAAAACACACACAUACUUAGGGAGUGUGUGUAAGGAGAGGAAUUUCAGGAUCAAGGGAUGCAAGUGGCAGGAUAAAGUAAUCUUUUCAAGUUUUGAAGCCCCCAUAUGCCUACAGGAAUACACUGCUUAGCAAGCCAUGCCAGGCAGUUGCCCCUGGAGCCACAUCACCAUGGCUGAAAACACCACAGGAGCGAUGGCCACAGACUCUGUGCACUGCUGAGCUCUGCUGGAGAAGGAUACAGAGAGAUGAACAAGGAAUUGGUGUUAUGAAAACUCACUGGAACAUUGGAAACAUGUGGAAUAUGGGAAAGAUGAGAAUAGAGUAGCCCAUUCUGGAAAGAAUUCUCAAAUGACACUUUGCUGAGCAAGAAGGCUUCUUUGAUGGGCUAAACGUUCCUGGGCAUGAGAAGGGGAGGAGGAACAGGAGAGGACAGAUGGUUCUCAUGGCAGGAAAAAGAUGACACCACUCUCAUUAUCCAAGAACAUCUUUGAUGGACACGUGUUACAUGGAAACAUCUUUGUGAUAUGCUUAGUUGGGGCACAAUAAUAAAUGCAAAUGGAUCGAGUGUCUUUCAUAACAUUCAGGACAAAUGCUGAAGAGCCCUGUUUAAACAGACAAACAAGCAAGAUCAAGAAACCACUGUUUAAGGUAAGUAGAAAGGACUUUUGAAUGAUUGAUCCUUUCAAUGAGUGGCUCCCUGUGGCUCCGAAUUGUUUAAUAAGAAUAUAAGAAUGAGACUCUUUCUUUUAAUAAGAAUAUAAGAAUGAGACCCCUACACAGUUUCUUCUCUGAGUGAGUCACCAAUAAUUAUGUAGGAAAGCAAGUUCAUCUCACAUUAUCUUGCUCUAUGCACAAAGCAGUCUAGAAAGAAUCCCAGACAGUAUCUACUGUAUCAUGUUUCACACCAGUCCUCAAAAUAACUCUGAAUAAAGUCAUAGAAAGAACCUGAACUGAGAAGACAGAAGUUAUUUCAAAAGCCUUUAGAUUCUGAGAAUCAGCUCUUCUGGCUUUGGUGUUUUUUGUUUUCCUCUGUGGAGCCAUUUCUAGAUGUGCCAUCUGCCCACAUAAUACAUACCGUUCAACAUUGCAGCUGCAAAGUAAAUGAGGGGCCAGGAUGAGGAGAAGAAGUUAACACCUUAAAACCAGAACCACCCUAGAAUCAAUGGUAAAUGGUUAAUGGCUAUGAUGUAUGGAGAAGUCUGUCAGGCCAGACAGAGAACUUGGGCAACAGAUACCCAAGGCUAAAGAGUAAGGACUAUCAGAAUGAACUGUAGAAAAGUAAUGGAGAACAAUUUGCAUGUACAUUUUUUUUUAAUGGGGAAGCUGUAGUAAGAGAGGGACAGUUUCUCAAAUAUGAGUGAUGGGUACAUGUAUUCUAGCCAGACAGUGAUGUUUCAGUGGGUCAUUAUUAUGAGAAAAGAAUUAGGCUGGACAAGUUUGUGUGUCUAUUACCCAUGGGAUUCACAAAAAUAGGCUCUAGAGUUCAAUUAAAUAGCUAUCCUAUGGUAAAAUACUCACUGAUGCUUUUGUUCCAUGCUUUUCUUUUUUUCUUUUAAAAGUUUUUGCCUCCCUUUGGUAGCACAGGAUAGAUCUAGGUGUCAUCACUGUUGAACAUCAGAUAUUUCAAGCUUUCUCCAUAUUAGUCCUGCAGAGUAAUGUAUGAAGGAUAGAAUCAGGAUGGUGUCUGCUUCUUUUUGCACAAAAUCCUUUUAAAUUCUAUAAAUCCUGGUCUUGAAAUACUCUCCUGUGGAAAAUACCAAGAGAAAAAAAGAAAACCCCAGGGACGAAAUAAAGGAUGAGACAAAUGAUGGUGAUUUUUAAAUUAUGUUUUUCCCCCUUUGAAAGCUACAUAUCCUCAUACUCACUGUCCACUAAAAAUAUGUUUUGGCCUUUAAAUAAGUGAGUCAGAAUGCUAUCUGGGUAUGCCCCUUCCUCACAAUCAAGCUGUAAAUAUGUUGACUUUUGAAAAAGUUAUGUAUUUUGUACGUCAUUAUGUAAAUGUGGUCAUAGUCUUAGUGUUAAACAGACCUAUUUUCAGAAAAGACUUUCUAAAAUUCCUCCGCAAAAUUUAGCAAAUAAUUACCAAACAGUUUUGUCCCUCUAAAUACCUAUCUAAACAUUGAAACCCUUAAAUUUUCUGGUACAUGUAUGAGGCCUAAUACAAUCAAAUUUAUUUACUGCUCUUCCCUCUCCCCAUCUCAGAGAACAGAAAGCAAAAACACACAAAAAGAUUCCACUGAGACAAGAAUUACAUUCUUCCUCUAAUGACAGUUUGAGCAUGAUCUUUUGAAAUUGUGGUUUUGUUACUGAGUUUAAGCUUGUAUUGCUCCCCAGUGUGACAAGUCAAUAAAUCAAGAAACAAAUUAUUAGGGCAAGGAAUAGCCACCUUAUUUGGAAAGCCAGCAGAUUGAAGAGAUGUUGGACUAGUGUCUCAAAGAACCAUUUUUAUCUGAGUUAGAAUUAGGAAGCUUUUAUUACUAAAAGGUGAGGAGCAUGGCUGGUUGUUGUAAACUUCUGAAUACUGGAAUUCUUGUGGUCUUGCAACUGUCUAUACAUAUCUGGACACGGUGUUCUUAUAGAUAAGACAAUUGUUAUUUUCUGUUUUGCAACUUCUUAUUUCUAUGUGAAUGGAAAAUUGUGAUUCCUUGAAAGGUCAGAGCCUUGAGAAUGGUCUAUCAUUUAUAUUUCAGGCUGUAGGAAACAUUCUUUUACAAAGAGUCAGGGCCACUAUGGCCAAGUGAAGAUAGCCAAGCUCUUGCAAAGGUGGAAACCACGGGAAUGGGUCCAAUAUGGAGUCAGGUUUGUUCUUCUCUGUUACAGUUUUGCUGUAACAAGUGUUAUUGGAUCUUGGGUUAGUGAAUAUUAGAGAACAGGAACAAGUAUAAGGUGUUCAGUAGUCCAUCCUCCACACUUUCCAUACUUGGCCACAUUGAGAAAACUCAUUGGUCGUGACUGUAAAGUAGUAUAGCAUUAGGUUUCACAAACUUGAAGAAUAUGGUGGAUAAAAAAGAAUCAUGUAUCUUUUCCAACUAUGUCUCUUACUCGCCUUGUGACUUAGAGUUUAAGUUUCCUAAUCUACUAAUGAGAGAUAACCUUUUUUUCUCUGAAAAGUUUUUUUUUUUUUUUUGAAAAUUAAGGAUUCAAAGCAUUUAAACAUACUUACUCUAGAGCCUGGGACAGCCUAACUAACUGGUUAGUAGCUGUUGUUUAACUUUAUGUCCAGACAAAAAUUUAAUAUCCCUGUCCAAUAUGGUUAGUCUUUAAAACAAUUUUGUUUCAUUUUACAAGUGGAAAAAUAAUGUUACAGGAAAAUUGAUCGUUAGAAAAUUAUUCAAAUAGCUCCCUGUUAUUUAUUCCAUGACACGUAAAAAAAUUUAGAGUAUUUUUUCCAGCAUUUAUUCAUUAUCACAUAAUGUUCCAUUUUUUUUCUUGGUAAUCAUUCUGUACACACAGCUGGCAUACUCUUUUACAUACUGUUUUCUGUAUUGUUUCAUAACCAUGAAAUUUUGACAUCCACAGAAAGCUUCAUAUCACAAAAACACAUUUAAUAUUUAAAAUGUUUUCUUUUUGAAAUUUCAAAAAUUUACUUAAAACAAAUGUACUUGUAACAACUACCCUUAUGUAUCGAGUAAAAUGAGUUUAUUGAUUUAUACUAUGCAUGGAUUAGUAUAUCACAUCCUUGCUACAGAGCUUUUUAGUUUAUCUUUUCAGUGUAAAGCAAUUAAAGUUAUGUAGAGUUAAAAAUGUAUUAUGUUUGGAAUAUCUUGCAGAUAAAAUAAAUACCGAACAGAUAGCACAAAGCCCUGCAUACACUAACGAAUGCAUUGUAUAUGGCAAUGAUGGACUUAACCUGGAGGUAAAUUACUCAUCCUGCCUGAUUAUGUGAAAACAUUAACCAAGCAAAAGUAGUUGCUGAUAAUAUACAAUAUAUUUUCCAGCAGAUUUUUGUCCUUGAUAAGAGAUUUUGAUAAAUCUGUUUAUCAAAGACAAUUUUAUUUCUCUUCCCAUUCUUUUAAAAACACUAUCUAUGGAAGGAAUUCUUUAUCUAAGAUCCAUGGGCCAUGAUGGGAGUGGGGGUUAUGGAUGGAUACUGCUUAAAAUCGUGUCCAAAUCUAGGAUUUAUACCCGUGUGUUUUGGUCUCAGGAGAAUGACUGGACUUCAUAGGAUCUAGUGCUGAAUUUGGUGGUAUCUCACUUUACUUACAGCUGUAAAGUAAUGCACUCUAGAAUGAUCUGUAGGUUCUUUCUUGUGUUUGGAAGUGUGUGUGUGCAUGCUAAGUCUAGCCCUACCCUUCCUUUCUUAUCAGUAGGAAAGGAACUAGAGGGAUGUGGAGUGGGCUGUUGGAAAACAAACAAGAAAACCCCAAACCAGUGUCUUCCUCAGUGGCAGAAUGUCCAGGGCACAUGCUGUUCUUCACUUUUAUCUUCCUCGUAUUAAAACAAAAAUACAUAUGUUUCUCUUUGGAGGGACUCACAGCUUCCGAAAAUGAAGGGAAUGUGCCUAGUUAGCCAACAUCACCUUCUCUUCUCUAAACAUGCAAAAAGUUGAAUCUCAAAUCUAUACAUUGUAAACACUCCUUUCUUCUACUUAUUUUUAUGUUUUUAUUUUUCCAUUAUAGUUGAUUCUACAUUGUUUUGUCAGUUUCUGCUAUAUAGCAAAGUGACCCAGUCAUAUAUAUAUAUAUAUGCAUAUAUGCAUAUAUGCAUAUAUACAUAUAUGCAUAUACAUUCACACAUAUAUACAUCCAUAUAUAUAUAUACAUUCACACAACACACACAUAUAUAUACACAUUUCUUUUUCUCACAUUAUCCUCCAUCAUGUUUUAUCACAAGUAGCUAGAUAUAGUUCCUAGUGCUACACAACAGGAUCUCAUUGCUUAUUUACUCCCAAUGCAAUAGUUUACAUCUACUAACCCCUAACUCUCAGUCCAUCUCAUUCCCUCCCCCUUGGCAACCCCAAAUCUGUUCUCUAAGUCCAUGAGUUUAUUUCUCCUCUGUAGAUAGGUUCAUUUGUCCUGUAUAUUAAAUUCCAGAUAUAAGCAAUAUCAUAUGGUAUUUGUCUUUAUCCUUCUGACUUACUUCACUUAGUAUGAGAGUCAUCCGUGUUGCUACAAAUGGCAUUAUUUUGUUCUUUUUAUGGCUGAGUAGUAUUCCAUUGUGUAUAUAUACCACAUCUUCUUAAUCCAUUCAUCUGUCAAUGGACAUUUAAGUUGUUUCUAUGUCUUGUCUAUUGUGAAUCAUGCUCCAGUGAACAUAGGGGUGCAAGUAUCUUUUCCAGUGAAAGUUUUAUCCAAUUAUAUGCCCAAGAGUAGGAUUGCUGGGUCAUUUGGUAGUUCUAUAUUUAGUUUUCUGGGGUACCUCCAUACUGUUUUCCAUAGUGGUUGUACCAAUUUACAUUCCCACCAGUAGUGCAGGAGGGUGCUCUUUUCUCCACACCCUCUCCAGCAUUUGCUAUUUGUUGACUUGUUAAUGACGACCAUUCUGACUUUUGUGAGGUGGCACCUUGGGAAAAUAGGACAUCUGCAUGUUAAUCAAUGAAACUAGAACACAGCCUCACACCAUACAGAAAAAUAAAUUCAAAAUAGCAUAACAACUUAAACAUAGGACAAGACACAUAAAACUCCUAGAAGAGAACAUAGGCAAAACAUUCUCUGACAUCAACCAGAGAACACAGGCAAAACAUUCUCUGACAUCAACCAUACAAAUAUUUUCUUAGGUCAGUCUCCCAAGGCAACAGAACUGAAAACAAACAAAAAAUCAUUGAGACCUAAUCAGUCUUCUACUUUUUGAAAUAAUAAUAUCUGUGCAUCUAUCUAUGAUUUCAUUUUUGUCUUUUCCAUUUCACAACAUUAAAAAUGUUUAAAUUGCUGAGUAUAUAAGGCUAUUUUCUAAAAUUCAAAGAAUUUGUCCUAUAUUUAUUGAACAUACAAUCAACCAGGAAACAUUAAUUUUUAUUUUAGUGCCUAAAAUUCCCAAAGCUGUGUCAGAUAAAACUAACAUGGGCAUGCCAAUGUUGGGCCAGGCACUGAGUUAAGAUUAGCAAAUUGUAGAGGCUUCUACUUUCUUUUUUUAAAUUUAUAUAUUACUCAAUGAAUUUAUUACAUCUAUAGUUGUACAAUGAUCAUCACAAUCCAGUUUUCCAUCCGACAACCACAGUGCUUCCCCCCCAGUGCUUCUCCCCAGUGCUUUCCAUCCCACACCCCGAGUGUUUCCCUCAACCUCUCUCUUUUGGAAACCAUAAGGUUUUCAAAGUCUGUGAGUCAGUAUCUGUUCUGCAAAGUUAAUUGUGGCCUUUUUUCAGAUUCCAUAUGUCAGUAAAGGCUUUUAAUGUUGGUGUCUCAUUGUCUGACUUCACUAUCACUAGCAUGAUAAUUUCUCUGUCCAUCAUGUUGCUAAAAAUGCCAUUAUUUCAUUUCUUUUGAUGGCUGAGUAAUAUUCCAUUGUGUAUAUGUACCACAUCUUUAUCCAAUCCUCUGUUGAUGGAUAUUUAGGUUGUUUCCAUGUCUUGGCUAUUGAAAAUAGUGCUGCAAUGAACAUUGGAGUACAUGUGUUUUUUCGAGUCAUGGUUUUCUCUGGAUAGAUGCCCAGGAGUGGGAUGGCUGGAUCAAAUGGUAGUUCCAUGUUUAGUUUUCUGAGGAAUCGCCAUACUGUUUUCCACAGCAGUUGCCCCAAUUGACAAUCCCACCAACAGUGUAAUAGGGUUCCUUUUUCUUCACACCCUCUAUAGCACUUAUUGUUUGUAGACUUUUUGAUGAUGGCCAUUCUGGCUUGGUGGAAGGUGGUACCUCAUCAUGGUUUUGAUUUGCAUUUCUCUAAUAAUGAGUGAUGUUGAACAUCUUGUCAUGUGUGUUUUGGCCAUCUGUAUGUCUUCUUUGGAGAACUGUCUGUUUAGAUCUUCUGCCCAUUUUUUGAUGGGGUUGUUUGUUUUUUUGGUAUUGAGCUGUAGGAGGUGUUCAUAAAUUUUUGAGAUUAUUCCCUUGUCAGUCGAUUCAUUUGCAAAUAUCUUCUCCCAUUCUGUGGGUUGUCUUUUUGCACACACCUACAGUCAACUAAUCUAUGACCAAGGAGACAAGAAUAUACAAUGGAGAAAAGACAGCCUGUUCAAUAAGCGGUGCUUGGAAAACUGGACAGCCACAUGGAAAAGAAUGAAAUUAUAACACUCCCUAACACCAUACACAAACAUAAAUUCAAAAUGGAUUAAAGACCUAGAUAUAAGACCAGAUACUAUAAAACUCUUAGAGGAAAACAUAGGCCAAACGCUCUCUGACAUAAAUGACAACAACAUCUUCUCAGGUCCACCUAUUAGAGUAAUGACGGUAAAAACAUAAAUAAAUGGGACUUAAUUAAACUUAAAAGUUUCUUCACAGCAAAGGAAACCCUAAACAAAAUGAAAAGACAAUAUAUUUUAUUUCUUUAUUUUUUUAGGUCCUCACCCAUGGCAUAUGGAGGUUCCCAGGCUAGGGAUCCAGUCAAAGCUGUAGCCACCAGUCUACACCAGAGCCACAGCCACUGGGGAUCUGAGCCAUGUCUGUAAUCUACACCACAGCUCACAGCAAUGCCAGAUCCUUAAGCCACUGAGCAAGGCCAAAGAUCAAACCCACAUCCUCAUGGUUGCUAGUUGGGUUUGUUAACUACUGAGAGGCUUCUAUUUUCAAUGUUAUUUUAUUUACAGGGGAGGAAGCCCAGAGAUACUAGGUAACUUGCCAGAAACCUCAAAGCCAGUACCUGGUAAAACAGAGUUACUCCAGGUUUUUCUGAUUCUUAUGCCUUGACUCUUUCCAAAUUUUACCUUUUCCUUGAACAUACUAAAGAUUCUUUUAAGAUCACAUGGCAGAAAGUGCAUAUGCUGGUGUGCCAAAGGAAAUAAAAUGGGCAAAGCCUGAGGUGGUUAAACUGGUCUCAGUCAGGGCUGGAAACACACCACUGAGCAUAAGCCACCUUGGUCAAUUCAAUGUUGGUGUGUUGGGAAAAGCAAUUGUCUUAAAAGUCUACAAAGUAAUGCUUUAUUUACCUGAUCCAGGGCCUCUGAGUUAUGCAAAAGAAUACUCUAUAAAAGAAUCACAUCAUUGGUAUUUGAGAUGUGUUUAUUAUCUUGGCAAAUAGAUCUACUUAGAUACAAGGUUUGCUCUUCAAACUUGGACCUAGCCACACUUUGAUUUAUCUAAAAUAUCCCUCCAAAGUGAGAACUCAUUCACUCUUAAUGAUUCUCCUAUAAAUUUGUUUAUGGGUGAUUUCAGCUAUGAGGUGUCAACUGGGACACAGAUUUAAUGAACAUGGGUAGGGUAAAUCUUCCAUUACAGAGGACAAAUGAGGCAUUUUGUUCAAGACAAUUUACUAAGUAUGUCCUAUAUAAUGAGAUCUGCAUUGUAACAAAGCGAGCAUGUGUCUCCUGUUUGGUUUAGAAAAGAGCUGUAUCAGAGUUGGUGGCUGACCAUAGCAGCUUUUACAGUGGUGCUGUUGGUGUUGUAACUUGACAAGCUUUCAGAAUAGACUGGCACCAGACUCACUUUUGUCAAUGCUAAAUUAAGGGUUCUUCAUAACUGGAAAGCAAUCACUUAUGUAAGCCAGCAUACAGAUCUAAGAGUGGUGGGGGGUGGGGAACUGCUGUAAUAACAAUGAUAAACACAAGGAGCUGCAAAAGGACAAACAUUAAUAUGUUAAAAAAGGACUUCAAAAUCCUAGAAUGUGGGGAAGGAAAGUAAAAUCUAAAUUCUUUUUUUUUUUUAAUAAUGUGUUUGAGACUUACGACUAUCAGGCUAAAGCAAGCAGAUACAGGAAGGGGUUAACAUACUUAAAAAACAGGGCAGCCACAAAUCAAAACCAAAUAUUACAUUCACAAAAACUAGAAAGAAAAGUACACAAGCAUAAAAUAAAUAAAAAUUAUCCAACCAAAAAAAAAAAAA